rnacentral:rRNA from 1 species
GUGGGGAAUCUUCCGCAAUGGACGAAAGUCUGACGGAGCAACGCCGCGUGAGUGAUGAAGGUCUUCGGAUUGUAAAGCUCUGUUAAUCGGGACGAAAGAGCCUAGUGUGAAUAAUGCUAGGAAGUGACGGUACCGGAAUAGAAAGCCACGGCUAACUACGUGCCAGCAGCCGCGGUAAUACGUAGGUGGCAAGCGUUGUCCGGAAUUAUUGGGCGUAAAGCGCGCGCAGGCGGAUCUGCCAGUCUGUCUUAAAAGUUCGGGGCUUAACCCCGUGAUGGGAUGGAAACUACAGAUCUAGAGUAUCGGAGAGGAAAGUGGAAUUCCUAGUGUAGCGGUGAAAUGCGUAGAUAUUAGGAAGAACACCAGUGGCAAAGGCGACUUUCUGGACGAAAACUGACGCUGAGGCGCGAAAGCCAGGGGAGCGAACGGGAUUAGAAACCCGAGUAGUCC